GACGAACGCUGGCGGCGUGCUUAACACAUGCAAGUCGAACGGAAAGGCCUCUUUCGGGGGUUACUCGAGUGGCGAACGGGUGAGUAACACGUGGGUGACCGGCCCUUGCCUUUGGGAUAACUUCUGGAAACGGGGGCUGAUACCGGAUAGGAGCUCCUGUAGCGUGGAGGGGGCUGGAAAGUUUCGGCGGUGGGGGAUGGACUCGCGGCUUAUAAGCUUGUUGGGGGGGUAGUGGCUUAGCAAGGCUUUGACGAGUAGCCGGACUGGGCGGGUGACCGGCAACAUUGGGACUGGGAUACGGCCACGACUCCGACGGGUGGGAGAAGCGGGGAAGAGUGAAAUAGGGGUGGGAGCCUGAUGCUGAAACGGCGUGGGCGGGAGGAUGGCCUUGGGGUUGGAAAUCGAUUUCGCUCAUGACGAAGCUGUGUGUGACGGUAGUGGGUAAAGAAGCACCGGCUAACUACGUG
rnacentral:rRNA from 1 species